rnacentral:misc_RNA from 1 species
GACGGAGGGUGUAAGCGUUGUUCGGAACUACUGGGCGUAAAGCGCGGGCAGGUGGUUCGUUAAGUCGUUUGUGAAAGUCCGGGGCUCAACCCCGCGAAAUGCAUACGAUACUGGCGGGCUGGAGAUCGGUAGAGGCUAGCGGAAUUCCUGGUGUAGCGGUGGAAUGCGUAGAUAUCAGGAAGAACACCAGUGGCGAAGGCGGCUAGCUGGGCCGAGUCUGACACUCAUCCGCGAAAGCGUGGGGAGCAAACAGG